AUCUAUGGCCAUGCUACCCUGAACACGCCCAAUCCUGUCUGAUCUCGAAAGCUAAGCAGGGACGGGCCUGGUUAGUACUUGGAUGGGAGACCACCUAGGAAGACCAAAUGCCGUGGACA
rnacentral:rRNA from 1 species